rnacentral:rRNA from 1 species
GACGAACGCUGGCGGCGUGCUUAACACAUGCAAGUCGAACGGAAAGGCCCUGCUUUUGUGGGUUUCUCGAUUGGCGAACGGGUGAGUAACACGUGUGUAACCUGCCCUUGACUUUGGGAUAACUUCAGGAAACUGGGGCUCAUACCGCAUAGGAUCUCCUGCUGCAUGGUGGUCGUUGGAAAGUUUCGGCGGUUGUGGAUGGACUCGCUGCUUAUCCGCUUGUUGGUGUGGUAGUUGCUUACCAAGGCUUUGACGGGUAGCCGGCAUGGGAGGGUGAACGGCGACAAGGGGACUGAGAGACGGCGCAGAAGCCAACGGGAGGCAGCAGUGGGGAAUAUUGCAGAAUGGGGGGAAGCCUGAUACAGCAACGCCGGGUGCGGGAUGACGGCCUUCGGGUGGUAAACAGAUUUCGAAUGUGACGAAGAGUGAGUGACGGUAAUGGGUAAAGAAGCACCGGCUAACUACGUG